rnacentral:rRNA from 1 species
GACGAACGCUGGCGGCGUGCUUAACACAUGCAAGUCGAACGGAAAGGCCCUGCUUUUGUGGGGUGCUCGAGUGGCGCACGGGUGAGUAACACGUGAGUAACCUGCCCUUGACUUUGGGAUAACUUCAGGAAACUGGGGCUAAUACCGGAUAGGAGCUCCUGCUGCAUGGUGGGGGUUGGAAAGUUUCGGCGGUUGUGGAUGGACUCGCGGCUUAUCAGCUUGUUGGUGGAGUAGUGGCUUACCAAGGCUUUGACGGGUAGCCGGCCUGAGAGGGUUACCGGGGACAUUGGGACUGAGAGAGGGCCCAGAAGGCUACGGGAGGCAGCGGUGGGGAGUAUGACAGAGUGGGCGGAAGCCUGAUGCAGCAGCGCCGGGUGCGGGAUGACGGCCUUCGGGUUGUAAACCGCUUUCGCAUGUGACGAAGCGUGAGUGACGGUAAUGGGUAAAGAAGCACCGGCUAACUACGUG